GAGGCGGCGGCGGAGGAUCGCUCCGCACCGCGCGCUCCUGCCGCCGCUGGCUCGCCCUGGGGAGGGGGGCACUGCGGGGCCGCUGCCCACCUCGCUCCGCCCGACCGAAGGGUCGAACAACGCCCGGCGGCCGCCCUGGGCAGGUGGCUGGGAUCUGGCCCCGCUCCGACCCUUCCUGCGGGGCUGCCAGGGGCCGGGGCGGCGAUACCUCCAUUAGGAGGCGGCCGGUGCCGGGGUCCCGUUCCCGGCCGCCGGCCUCCAGCAGCCCGCCUGCCCUCCCCGGCGGGAGGGGCUGAGCGCCCCUCAGUGUUAGCUCCAGCCUCGCGGGGGACGGGGGACACGGGCCCUUUUUGACAGGGCGGGUGCAAAUAUAUUCCUGAUAUUUGUAUCAGGAGUAGCGUGGCCAGCAGGAGCAGGGCAGUGAUCGUGCCCCUGUGCUUGGCACUGGCGGGGCCGCACCUCGAAUACUGUGUUCAGUUUUGGGCCCCUCAGGACAAGAAGGACAGUGAGGUGCUGGAGCGCGUCCAGAGAAGGGCAACGAAGCUAGUGAAGGGUCUGCGGGACAAGUCUUAUGAGGAGAGGUUGAGGGAACUGGGGGUGUUUAGCCUGGAGAAGAGGAGGCUGAGGGGAGACCUUAUCGCUCUCUACAACUACCUGAAAGGAGGCUGUAGUGAGUUUUUGUGCAAGCAGUUCAGAACCCUGAAAGGACGACGGUGAGCACAAGGACAUUCCCGCUCCCUCUCCUGAAAGCCUGUGCCCACCUUAGUGGGUGGACUGUCAUCUUCUUAGGGAGAAGGAAGGCUCAACACCCAGUGGAGAGCAUCUCAAGCAUCCAUGGUCCACAGUAUCUCAGGGCAGAAGCCUGAGUACACUGAGGUGGGAGAAGACUAGGCAUCUAGGUGAGGUCAGAGAUGUAAAAAUACAGACUCCUGUGCCUUUGGUGUCCUUUUCCCACUCGGCAAUAGGAUAGCAGAGUGGUUCUCCGCCUUAUUGUGGAGGGUUUUUUCCCAGGAUCGCAAUGCUUAUCAGCUUUAUUGCAGCAUGUGCACAAGUUUUCACAGGCAAAACUGUGGUUUUGUAUUCACAGAGGCGUAGUUUUUCAUGAAAAUGACUGUUGACUGGGGGAAAAAGAAAAAAAAAGGAGGUGAAGCUUCUCUGAAGAUCCGGUUAUAAAAGCUUUCUCAGAUUGUCUCUGCCAGGAAGUGCUACCAUGUGAACUAGGAAGACUCCAGCUAGCCUACAUUCUUUUCAUCACUUACAGUUUUAGUAUCUUUCAAUAAUCCAGGCACAUAUGUUUUCAUCUAAGGACAUUUUCCCUUCACCGUUAUAAAAAUGUUAAAUAACAAGUUUUUUGCCAAAUCCUUGGAAAAGUCUCACUUGCAAUCAUUUCUACCUUUGUGUUUCUAGCAAUCUUAUUAUUUUUCUCUGCAUUGGAAACCACUACCAAAAAGGUGGACAUAAGCAAUAUCAAGACACUCCAAAAUCUUUUCAACUCUAGGUUGACAACUUUGAAGUCAGCCAAUUUUUUUUUUCACCCUUUUCACUGUCAAGAACCUGAUACCGUUUCCAAAGAUGCAUGGAGCAUUUACAGUGAAAAAUAUGAGAUUGCUAUGCUGCUAUAAUCUGUGCUUCCAAUUAAAAUGACCAUAUAAGAACAGCAUAAAGCAAGUAUAUUUUGUUUAGCCUCCACAAACCUUGCUGAUGUUUGCCCUGUAAUGUGUGCAGCUAAUUGACAUUCGUAAUGUAACAAUUUACAUGUAAAUCCAUUUCCUUAUGCACAAAUUUGUUGAUCAAGUCUUUGUCUACCACUCUCAAGUAGUCAAAGAUACAUCUAAAAGCAGAAAAUAGUUAUUUCCCUGAUUUCUCGUGUUUGUCGUACUCAUUUUUGAGAAUGGACAUUGCAUACUGGAGAGUUAGUUUUAGAAGCUAGAAAAUGAUAAAUAGUGUAAACGAUUUCUGAUAUCCAGGAUGUAUUUGGUACCAAGUGUAGUUCACAUCAGCUGAGCCCGGUGCUCUGUCCCUGCCUAGUGGUGCCUGAACCGGGUAUUAGUCCAUUACCCCAAGAAUGAAUUAUGGUUUUAGUAUCAAAACUAAGGGCUGGGGGUUGUUUCUGCAAGAAGACAACAACUUUAAUCCUGACUUUUUUUUGUACAGUACAAGAGAAAUCAGGUUUCCUGAUUCAGUGAUCCUGCUGCUGUGGGAAUUAAUUGAGUUGGAUCUGGAGCAGCCAUGCACUAAAGAGUAGCCAGAGACAAAUAUUUGCAAAGACUAAAUCAUUAUGAUAAAAAGCAGUAACACAGAAGCCCCUCAAAACUCAGGGAAAGGAGAAGGAUGAGGGUAGAAAUUAGUAUCGAGAGAGUCGGUGGCUCCAGAGAUUGCACCUAGUUGUCUUCUUUUGAAAGAAGCUCCACCUCUGGGCCAAAUUCUGCCGCAAUAAAUGUUGGGACCCUUUCUCCUCUAAGGCAAUAGCUCAUGAGCCACUGAAACCCAUAGGCUUAUCGUCAGGGAGCCCUCUCCAAGCAGAUUUACCUUUGGCAUCAGUGUGAUGUUCCUUCGUGUUGACCCCAACAUGGCACCCAACUAGAUGGAGCAGAGAGAUGUGCACAAUUGAUUUCCAACGAUGGCAGCAGGUUUUAAAGCUGGUGAGUUGGUGUCUCAAAGUCUGAAAUUUUGCACUAUGGGAGGUUAUUUGUUGGCUUGAUCUACACGUUGUUUCUGUUACAAUGAAUCCAUUUCAUUAGAGUGAUUUUUACCCAGGCUGAUGAAUAUUAACUCCAAUGAGGAUGCAGUCGUAGUGGGAUUAUGUACUUGUUUUCUCAUGCUCGUACUCGUAUUAUGCUGUCGUAGUGCACUUACGUUCACAGAAGAGCAUUUUCAGUACAAUAACUCUAGCUACGCAGGGAAAGUUAGAAGUGCUACAGCUGGUGUAUGUGUAGAACAAGCCUUGAAGAUGUGAAACACAAAAGCUGGAAAUGGCAAGGUUCAUAAAGGGCCAUUAAAACAGUGGGUAGAAACAUCAAUUUGACCUGUUUAUGGAAAAAAAAAAAAAGUUAUUUGACUUUCAUCAGACUACUGCAGUGAAAUCAAUGUGUGCGUUUGCACCACGCAUGUUGCCCAAGUUACAUCAAUACAGCGAUGCUUGUAGGGAUCUGUCUGCCUUCUUUUCUCCUAAAAAUGGGAAUACCAUUCACUUGUCUAUGCCAGAGGUGUACAUGUUGUACCCACGACCUACUUGUUAUUGGUAAAAAAUAAACUGUGACUUUAAUCAGG